UUCCUCAUUAAUGUUCACAAUUCACACAAGCAGAGUAUUCUCGAGAAGAAAUUGAUGAGGUGCGAUCGGAGUUGGCAGAAUGUAUACAAGAUCAUAUUUAUGAGUAGGUGCGUUCAAGUUUAUUUUUGCUUUCAUUGUCCACAGAGAAAUAGUAACAAGAUGUGUUUAUUACAACUAUUUGAACUUGGCGUCAUGGAUCUUAUUCAACCAUUAUUCACAAGGUGGAUACAGGACAGUCA